rnacentral:rRNA from 1 species
AGUGAACGCUGGCGGCAGGCCUAACACAUGCAAGUCGAACGGCAGCACAGUAAGCGCUUGCUCUUACGGGUGGCGAGUGGCGGACGGGUGAGGAAUACAUCGGAAUCUACUCUUUCGUGGGGGACAACGUAGGGAAACUUACGCUAAUACCGCAUACGAUCUACGGGAGAAAGCAGGGGAUCUUCGGACCUUGCGCGAUUGAAUGAGCCGAUGUCGGAUUAGCUAGGUGGCGGGGUAAAGGCCCACCAAGGCGACGAUCCGUAGCUGGUCUGAGAGGAUGAUCAGCCACACUGGAACUGAGACACGGUCCAGACUCCUACGGGAGGCAGCAGUGGGGAAUAUUGGACAAUGGGCGCAAGCCUGAUCCAGCCAUGCCGCGUGGGUGAAGAAGGCCUUCGGGUUGUAAAGCCCUUUUGUUGGGAAAGAAAAGCAGCAGGUUAAGACCCCGCUGUUCUGACGGUACCCAAAGAAUAAGCACCGGCUAACUUCGUG